rnacentral:rRNA from 1 species
AUUGAACGCUGGCGGCAGGCCUAACACAUGCAAGUCGAGCGGAUGAAGAGAGCUUGCUCUCUGAUUUAGCGGCGGACGGGUGAGUAAUGCCUAGGAAUCUGCCUGGUAGUGGGGGAUAACGUUCCGAAAGGAACGCUAAUACCGCAUACGUCCUACGGGAGAAAGCAGGGGACCUUCGGGCCUUGCGCUAUCCGAUGAGCCUAGGUCGGAUUAGCUAGUUGGGGAGGUAAUGGCUCACCAAGCCGACGAUCCGUAACUGGUCUGAGAGGAUGAUCAGUCACACUGGAACUGAGACACGGUCCAGACUCCUACGGGAGGCAGCAGUGGGGAAUAUUGGACAAUGGGCGAAAGCCUGAUCCAGCCAUGCCGCGUGUGUGAAGAAGGUCUUCGGAUUGUAAAGCACUUUAAGUUGGGAGGAAGGGCAUUAACCUAAUACGUUAGUGUUUUGACGUUACCAAAAGAAUAAGCACCGGCUAACUUCGUGCCAGCCGCCGCAGUAAUAC